AGCUUCCACAUGGCUUUAAUUUCAUGCUGGUAACACUGCACUACAUAUGCUCAUUGCUUUAUAUAUCCUGAAGCCAUACCACAUGGAUCAAACAUACUGGCAGCCUUCAGCUCAGCUGAAAAGCUACACAAAAUAAAGAUGAUAAAAACAGCCUAAAGAAACUCUUUUGCUAUCAAGGAAAGACAAUGCAAAUGUAGGCAAUAAUAUUAAUGAAUGCUACUUACAAAUUUUUUCAGUUGUAUAAAUAUUUUAAUAAUUAUAUGUGUAUAUAAUAAAAUAUCUUCCAAGAUAUGAUGGGACUGAGCAGAAUUAUAUGUCAGAGGUAUGUAGUCACAUAAAGUGCCUACAGUUAUGAAGUCACGUUCUGAAAAGGUUCUUUUUCAGAGUGUGAUUUUCAUACGUUGUCAGAUUUUGUUUGUGAACAAAUACAUUGCAGUGCCAAGGUCUUGUGAAAGAGUCUGGUCAAAAUUAGAAGUUCCAAUCUGGAAAGUUAUUCCCCCAUAGAAAAUUAUUUUUAAAUAUGUAUUUAAAAAAAGCAGAUUUUUUUUUCUUGAAGGACAAUUUGUGAUACUUUCUUUAGAUGGCACAGCAAAGAUUUUUAUUUUCCUUUAUGUACUCCAUCUAGGCAAGAUACAUGUGGAACCACUGAGGUGAGGGACUACUUUCUGUGGGAGCUGCAGCAUGGCUCAGGUGUGUCGACAAGUGCUUUAAAUGAAGAGCAAGAUCAUGGUUCAUCAUAUAGAAGCCUACAUAAAUGAUUACUUUUAAAUUUCUUUGAUCUUGUUCAUAAAAAUAUUUAAAAACUUUGGUAGAGAAUGUAAGAAAGGCAGUAAUGGCUUCAUUUUUCUUAAUAUGGAUACAACAAGCUGCUGCUGAUUUAGCUCUUUGAAGACCGGGAUUUGAGUAGAAUAGCUGGAAAGGAACCUUCAAAGGCCAUCCAGUCCCACUGCCUGACCACUUCAGCUCAUGCAACGUGGCCACAGUAACAAGAAAGUCAAUGGUUCUGUUUAAAAGUGAUUUCUAUUUUUGAGGAGCCUAAAGGUCAUCCAGGCAUCUGGAUAUGCAAAUCCAGCUUUGGAAGAGCUGCUCCUCGAUGUGGAGGAUACUUUUGGAUCUGGAUGUUUAGCCUUCUUGAAAAUCUGUCACUGUACAUGGAUUUCCUGAGAUUUCUGGAAGAACUCAGCAUGCUCCAUGUACAGGUGAUCUGCCCUGGAACAGCAGGGGUGAAUCUUCUCUGGAUACAAAACAAUGAAGAUGUAUGGAAGAAGAAUGGAAUAAUACAUCAGCUGAAUGCAUGAUCUCCAUGAUUAUAUGACAAAAGGAAAAAAAAAUAAGGGAUGGACCACCUCCCCUGCGAGGACAGGCUGAGAGAGCUGCGACAGAGCAACCUGGGGAAGAGAAGGC